rnacentral:rRNA from 1 species
GACGAACGCUGGCGGCAUGCCUAACACAUGCAAGUCGAACGAGACCUUCGGGUCUAGUGGCGCACGGGUGCGUAACGCGUGGGAAUCUGCCCUCUGGUACGGAAUAACUCAGGGAAACUUGAGCUAAUACCGUAUAAUGACUUCUGUCCAAAGAUUUAUCUCCUGAGGAUGAGCCCGCGUCGGAUUAGCUAGUUGGUAGGGUAAAGGCCUACCAAGGCGACGAUCCGUAGCUGGUCUGAGAGGAUGAUCAGCCACACUGGGACUGAGACACGGCCCAGACUCCUACGGGAGGCAGCAGUGGGGAAUAUUGGACAAUGGGGGAAACCCUGAUCCAGCAAUGCCGCGUGAGUGAUGAAGGCCUUAGGGUUGUAAAGCUCUUUUACCCGGGAUGAUAAUGACAGUACCGGGAGAAUAAGCCCCGGCUAACUCCGUGCCAGCAGCCGCGGUAAUACGGAGGGGCUAGCGUUGUUCGGAAUUACUGGGCGUAAAGCGCACGUAGGCGGCUUU